UACAUUUGCCCAAAGCCAUCGCCCUCUGUGCUUAAGGAUCUUUGCAUUUCUCUCUACAGGAAAUAGACUUGAGGAGCUGGGCGUGUAGCUCAGUGACAGAGCAUUUGUCUAGCAAGCAAGUAGGUUUGAUUCCUCUCGCCAGGAAAAGCCGGAAUGUUUUAAAACUCAGAAGUGCUUGCUUAAGAGCGCAAGUGUGGGAACCUGCUAAUGGUUCCAUUUGUCUUAAUGCUCAACUCUUCAAGAAAGCACUUGAAUCAAGUAAAGUGCCGGGGGACUAGCCAGAGCCUCAUGAAUGCUAGUAAGCUCUCUCCCACACCACAUGCUGCACACAGCCAUGACGAGCCUACCCGGAACCAGAAAUGGCUUCACCGUGAGCAAACAGUUGCCCAGCAAUGGAAACCCUAAGACACCAGGCUUCUUGCUGGAAACCUGCAUGUUAGUUGAACUCGGGAGCACACGGAUCAGCUGGUACAUAGCCAUGGUGGACAUGGGAACUUGGACAUGCUGCUCAGCCUCCUUUACUGACCUGUAGGGCUGUGGAAAGGAACCCUCAGGAAGAGGAACAGCUCUGGUGGCCUAGCCAAGGUCUGUGCCACAAUUCCAGGACUUUCUGGCCAAUCCCCUCUAUGACAAGUGUCUGCAGUGGAAACUCUUGGAGAGGUGAGUAGUAGCGUCUUGCCUUGCCAGUGAAUUUGUGUUCGUGGCCACACCCCUUUGGGCGUGGCUUCCGGUGCUGGGAAGGGCGGGGAAGGUGGGGAAGUGGGAGGCAGGCGCGCUCUCUGUCUCUGUCUCUGUCUCUCUCUCAGAUCUCGGACUGCAUUUUCUGGAGCAGGAAAGCUGAGGCAGUUCUUUAUUAUUAUCUGUAUAAGUUGUUCCCCAAUAAAAC
rnacentral:lncRNA from 1 species